UGGGGAAUCUUGCACAAUGGGCGAAAGCCUGAUGCAGCGACGCCGCGUGCGGGAUGAAGGCCUUCGGGUUGUAAACCGCUUUCAGCAGGGACGAGGCCGCAAGGUGACGGUACCUGCAGAAGAAGCCCCGGCUAACUACGUGCCAGCAGCCGCGGUAAUACGUAGGGGGCAAGCGUUAUCCGGAUUCAUUGGGCGUAAAGCGCGCGUAGGCGGUUUGUUAGGUCAGGAGUUAAAUCUGGGGGCUCAACCCCUAUCCGCUCCUGAUACCGGCAGGCUUGAGUCUGGUAGGGGAAGGCGGAAUUCCAAGUGUAGCGGUGAAAUGCGCAGAUAUUUGGAAGAACACCGGUGGCGAAGGCGGCCUUCUGGGCCACGACUGACGCUGGGGCGCGAAAGCUAGGGGAGCGAACAGG
rnacentral:rRNA from 1 species